rnacentral:rRNA from 1 species
GGGUUGUGAGGUUAAGCGACUAAGCGUACACGGUGGAUGCCCUGGCAGUCAGAGGCGAUGAAGGACGUGCUAAUCUGCGAUAAGCGCCGGUAAGGUGAUAUGAACCGUUAUAACCGGCGAUUUCCGAAUGGGGAAACCCAGUGUGACUCGUCACACUAUCAUUAACUGAAUCCAUAGGUUAAUGAGGCGAACCGGGGGAACUGAAACAUCUAAGUACCCCGAGGAAAAGAAAUCAACCGAGAUUCCCCCAGUAGCGGCGAGCGAACGGGGAGGAGCCCAGAGCCUGAAUCAGCAUGUGUGUUAGUGGAAGCGUCUGGAAAGGCGCGCGAUACAGGGUGACAGCCCCGUACACAAAAGCGCAUGUGCUGUGAGCUCGAUGAGUAGGGCGGGACACGUGGUAUCCUGUCUGAAUAUGGGGGGACCAUCCUCCAAGGCUAAAUACUCCUGACUGACCGAUAGUGAACCAGUACCGUGAGGGAAAGGCGAAAAGAACCCCGGCGAGGGGAGUGAAAAAGAACCUGAAACCGUGUACGUACAAGCAGUGGGAGCACAGGUUUACCUGUGUGACUGCGUACCUUUUGUAUAAUGGGUCAGCGACUUAUAUUCUGUAGCAAGGUUAACCGUAUAGGGGAGCCGCAGGGAAACCGAGUCUUAACCGGGCGUUAAGUUGCAGGGUAUAGACCCGAAACCCGGUGAUCUAGCCAUGGGCAGGUUGAAGGUUGGGUAACACUAACUGGAGGACCGAACCGACUAAUGUUGAAAAAUUAGCGGACGACCUGUGGCUGGGGGUGAAAGGCCAAUCAAACCGGGAGAUAGCUGGUUCUCCCCGAAAGCUAUUUAGGUAGCGCCUCGUGAA